ACAUUUUCUGUGACAGUGCUUACGAAAAUUA
rnacentral:sRNA from 1 species